CUUGUGUCAAGUAUAUGUGAAGAAUUUGGCAUAUUGUAAGAUUGGAGAAAUCUGAAAAACUAAAAUUGUAAAGAGCGUGGACUUAAAGGAUUUCAAAAUUAUUCAAUUGAAUGUACACAAAAUAAUUACUUUGUGGUAAAAUUUUACGAAUACUUACUCAUAGGCUUUUGUAUUUUUAUCAUUAUCAAACAAAUAUCUUAACUUUGAAAAGAUGUUCAAGACAUCACAUUUAGUCUAUGUAGAAAAUCAUAUGGGUGUUAACUGCGGAUCAGUGCCAGUGGAAACAUAAAAUCAGUGCACAAACUAUAGUGUGUAAACAUUGUUGUGAAACAACUCUUAUUUACUAAUGCCGUGUCUCCAGUGCUAAUUGUAUACAGUGUGUUUACAAAUGACAGGAAUGUUUUUGUUGUGUCUAAAAAAAUAUCUUACAUCACCAACACUGAAAUUGUGUGUAAACUUGUGUGGUUGAAAAUAUUGUUUUGAACAUUUACAAAGUUUGAACUACAUAUUUUGUUACCAAAUUAGAAAUAGUGUAAUCAUUGGCUCAUGAAUAGUGUUGCAUAGAAUCAAGAAGAGAACACAAAACCCUCAUUUCAUUCUAUAUAAUAAGUUUGAAGAGGGACAAGCGUGAUUUGCAACAAAUUGCAAGAAGAUCCCUGGCACACAUGACUGGACACUGAGUCACUUACAGAAACAUAUAUCUUAUUCUAGACCUAUCAAUAGCAUCAUCAAUUGACUGAUGAGAAAAGUCAAUCUCCAAAAAGGUCAAGCAGUAAACAGUAUCCCAUGAACUCACAACAACAAGCUUUGUUCUAGAUUUCAGAAUCUCUGUUCAUGUAUUGAACUGUGUAAAAAUGCCAUGUUGACAUUAGUGAACUGCUCGGCUCUUUCCAGAACGGGAUCCUUGCUGGUUAUGGUGUCCAGCAGCUCCUCAUCGCUACUAAAACGCCUGCCUAGCCUCAGCUUGGGACCGUUCCUGGGGCUGGCCCCGUACGAUGUGGAGGCGGCUUCUUGACCUCGUGGCCCCUCCUCAGGGUCCAUGGAAUACUCGCCUGACAGCAGCGACUCCAGCUCCCACCUGUUUCUAGUCUUGCCUCCUCUCACUGGCAUGGUAACCAAACAAUGUGGUACAUGGCAGGUACAACAAUCAUGAUUGCUUUAUCUAAAUGACCUGAAAAUAUAUAAACAGAUAGAUUUUAGCCUUUAUUGGGACUUCAAAAGGGUUUAUCCACUAUGUCCAUGCAUGCUGCUUACACCUUGAUGAUUUUAAAUUGCCUACCCAUGUGCAAUUCAGACAUAUGAAUUGUGACUUACAGUCACAGAAGGAUGUACAAAGGCACUGAAAUACAGUUAUAUGGAUUACACAUCUACUGUUUGUGAACACUGAACGAGCCUAUACAAUCAAUAAAGUAUAAGCAUAUGUACUCGCACAGCAACAACUUUUUCUAUAAUAUUAAGUUGACAAAUAGCUUGGAAUUCUAUAUUUACCAGCAAUGAAGGAAACUGCCAAAAUUAAAGGUUCUUUGUUUUGUCAGAAUAACAUAUUAAACAAUGUCAAAUUGCAUUUGAUGUCUUUCAUGCUUUUUAACAUACUUAGUGCUUAUGGCUUCCAUUUUGAUGAAGCAACAGGUGCACUGAAGUUGAAAUAUGUUUGAAACAGAUAACGAAAUGCAAUAUGCAUUAAUUUUAUUAUGUACCAAGUAGUAUUGUAAUACAUGAACAUAAUACAGUUGUCAUUAAGCAUUAUGCCAUUGCAAUUUAGAAUAAUGCUACAGUCAUUUAGCAACAUAAAUGGACUGGUGGAAUUAAUUAAAUGCCCUUCCAUAAAACAAACAUGCUUUGUGAUACAACAUGAAAUCCUAAAAAAUAAAUUAUUAUACAAACAUUUUAAGGACACAGAAAUAUGCAUUAUCAUCCAAUAAAUGUACACAAAUUAUUUGCUUUUGGACAAAUCUUUUUAAUUCAUUAGUACAUGUAUUACUGGUAUGAUAUCAACAUUUGCUUUGUACAUGUAUGAUAAAUGAAAGUAAAAAAUUCAAACAUU